rnacentral:rRNA from 1 species
GUGCCAGCAGCUGCGGUAAUACGUAUGUCCCGAGCGUUAUCCGGAUUUAUUGGGCGUAAAGCGAGCGCAGACGGUUUAUUAAGUCUGAUGUGAAAGCCCGGAGCUCAACUCCGGAAUGGCAUUGGAAACUGGUUAACUUGAGUGCAGUAGAGGUAAGUGGAACUCCAUGUGUAGCGGUGGAAUGCGUAGAUAUAUGGAAGAACACCAGUGGCGAAGGCGGCUUACUGGACUGCAACUGACGUUGAGGCUCGAAAGUGUGGGUAGCAAACAGGAUUAGAUACCCUGGUAGUCCACACCGUAAACGAUGAACACUAGGUGUUAGAGGUUUCCGCUCUUAGUGCCGAAGCUAACGCAUUAAGUGUUCCGCCUGGGGAGUACGACCGCAAGGUUGAAACUCAAAGGAAUUGACGGGACCCGCACAAGCGGUGGAGCAUGUGGUUUAAUUCGAAGCAACGCGAAGAACCUUACCAGGUCUUGACAUCCUUGGAACUUUUAGAGAUAGAAGUGUUCUCUUCGGAGAC